rnacentral:lncRNA from 1 species
AGAAGAUUGUCUGGAGGUGGGUGGGCCAGAGCUUUGUGCUGUUUCUUGAAGGAUACUGACCCAAACAUCAAAGGACUCAAGAAGCUCCAAGGGCUCCCAGAAAGGCCAGGUGACCCGAGGCAUGGGAACAGCAAGUGGCACCUUUCACUCCUGGAGCUGUUCUGCACUGCUGAGCCACAUCCUCCCCGCAGGCUGCCCAGGCAAAGGGCAGGACCUGCUGCUCACACAGUGCCCAGCAGCCCUGUCAGGAUGGUUUUCAUGAGCAGCUGUGGUGAGUCCCUCUG